rnacentral:rRNA from 1 species
UCGGAUUGUAGUCUGCAACCCGACUAUAUGAAGCUGGAAUCGCUAGUAAUCGCGAAUCAGAAUGUCGCGGUGAAUACGUUCCCGGGUCUUGUACACACCGCCCGUCACACCAUGGGAGUCGGAAAUGCCCGAAGUCAGUGACCCAACCGCAAGGAGGGAGCUGCCGAAGGUGGAGCCGGUAACUGGGUGAAGUCGUAACAAGGUACC